rnacentral:rRNA from 1 species
UACGGGGGGGGGCGAGCGUUGUUCGGAAUUACUGGGCGUAAAGGGCGCGUAGGCGGCUUUGCAAGUCGGGUGUGAAAGCCCUCAGCUCAACUGAGGAAGUGCGCCCGAAACUGCAGAGCUUGAGUGCCGGAGAGGGUGGCGGAAUUCCCCAAGUAGAGGUGAAAUUCGUAGAUAUGGGGGAGGAACACCGGUGGCGAAGGCGGCCACCUGGACGGUAACUGACGCUGAAGCGCGAAAGCGUGGGGAGCAAACAGG